rnacentral:rRNA from 2 species
CUAAGUACCCAAAGGAAGAGAAAUCAAAUGAGAUUCCCAUAGUAGCGGCGAGCGAACUGGGAUUAGGACAAACCCUAUACUUGUAUAGGGGGUUGUAGGACCAUAAUAUAAGAUUAAAGAGGAUAGAUGAACUAGUUGGAAAGCUAGAGCGUAGAAGGUGAAACUCCUGUAAUUAAAAUUCUCAAUAACUUUAAUGGUAUCCUGAGUAGGUCGGAACACGUGAUAUUUUGACUGAAGCUGGGGGGACCACCCUCCAAUCCUAAAUACUACUUACAGAUCGAUAGUGAACAAGUACCGUGAGGGAAAGGUGAAAAGUACUGCAGCGAGCAGAGUGAAAUAGAACCUGAAACCAUUAGCUUACAAUCAUUCAGAGCCCUAUGAUUUAUCAGGGUGAUGGACUGCCUUUUGCAUAAUGAGCCUGCGAGUUGUGGUGUCUGGCAAGGUUAAGCCAAGUGCGAAGCCGUAGCGAAAGCGAGUCUUAAUAGGGCGACAUAGUCAGAUGCUGCAGACCCGAAACGAAGUGAUCUAUCCAUGAGCAGGUUGAAGCUGGUGUAAGAGCCAGUGGAGGACCGAACCCAUUGACGUUGAAAAGUCUCGGGAUGACUUGUGGAUAGGGGUGAAAGGCCAAUCAAACUUCGUGAUAGCUGGUUCUCUCCGAAAUAUAUUUAGGUAUAGCCUUGUGUUGUAGCAUAUAGGGGUAGAGCACUGAAUGGGCUAGGGCUGCUUACCGCGGUACCAAACCCUAUCAAACUAUGAAUACUAUAUGUGGAAUCACAGGAGUCAGGCGGUGGGUGAUAAAAUCCGUCGUCGAGAGGGGAACAACCCAGACUAACAGCUAAGGUCCCUAAGUUACAUCUAAGUGGAAAACGAUGUGGAGUUACUGUGACAACCAGGAGGUUGGCUUAGAAGCAGCCAUCCUUUAAAGAAAGCGUAACAGCUCACUGGUCUAGUGAUUCUGCGCGGAAAAUAUAACGGGGCUAAGAUGUACACCGAAGCUUUAGAUUCAAUUUUUAAUUGAGUGGUAGGAGAGCGUUCUAUUCAGCGUUGAAGGUAUACCGGUAAGGAGUGCUGGAGCGGAUAGAAGUGAGCAUGCAGGCAUGAGUAGCGAUAAUUAAGGUGAGAAUCCUUAACGCCGAAAACCCAAGGUUUCCUACGCGAUGCUCGUCAUCGUAGGGUUAGUCGGGUCCUAAGUCGAGACUGAAAAGUGUAGACGAUGGCAAAUUGGUUAAUAUUCCAAUACCAACAUAUAAGCGCGAUGUGGGGACGCAUAGAGUUAAUCGAGCUCACUGAUGGAAUAGUGGGUCGAAGGAUGUAGGUUGUUAAGUAGGCAAAUCCGCUUAACAAUAGACCGAGAUCUUACAGGCUCUUGACACUCUUCGGAGGAGAUGGAGAAUCGAUGAUACUGUCGUGCCAAGAAAAGCCACUAAGUAUAUUAUAUGUUGCCCGUACCGUAAACCGACACAGGUGGGUGGGAUGAGUAUUCUAAGGCGCGUGGAAGAACCCUCUUUAAGGAACUCUGCAAAAUAGCACCGUAUCUUCGGUAUAAGGUGUGCCUACCAUGGUAUAGAAACUUGCUUUCAAAAGCCAAGGAGGUUGCAACAAAGAGUCCCUCCCGACUGUUUACCAAAAACACAGCACUUUGCUAACACGUAAGUGGAUGUAUAAGGUGUGACGCCUGCCCGGUGCUCGAAGGUUAACUGAUGAUGUCAGCGCAAGCGAAGCAUUUGAUUGAAGCCCGAGUAAACGGCGGCCGUAACUAUAACGGUCCUAAGGUAGCGAAAUUCCUUGUCAGUUAAAUACUGACCUGCAUGAAUGGCGUAACGAGAUGGGAGCUGUCUCAAAGAGGGAUCCAGUGAAAUUGUAGUGGAGGUGAAAAUUCCUCCUACCCGCGGAAAGACGGAAAGACCCCGUGCACCUUUACUACAGCUUGACACUGUAGCUUGGAUAUUCAUGUGCAGGAUAGGUGGGAGGCUAUGAUGACUAGACGCAAGUAGAGUCGGAGCCAUCCUUGAGAUACCACCCUUGAAUAUUUGAGUUACUAACUGCGAUGAGUUAUCCUCAUUCAGGACAAUGUCUGGU